rnacentral:lncRNA from 1 species
GUGAAACAGAUCCUAAAGAGCGUCAGAGGCUAUGAAUAGUUUUCCUACCGCGCUGAGCAGGCCCUCAUUGCCAGCAAGCUGUGAGAAACAUGGACUCUGCCUGAACGAGGAGAUGAGGAAGGACAAAAUUACCAGGAGGAAAACAGAAACAGCAUAAGCUAAGAGCUCAAAGCCUGUGCAGCUCUGCUGGGUGCUAGAGUGGACCCUGACCUGAUAGGAUUGGGUAUGAUCGGUGUCCUUGCCAGAAGAGGAAGUUUGGACACAUGAAGAGACAGCAGGGUGCACACG